CCCUUAGAUGUCCUGGGCCGCACGCGCGCUACACUGGCACACGCAACGAGUCUAUCACCUUGGUCGGCAGGCCUGGGUAAUCUGUGAACGUGUGCCGUGAUUGGGAUUGAUUGUUGCAAUUUUCAAUCAUGAACGAGGAAUUCCUAGUAAACGCGAGUCAUCAGCUCGCAUUGAUUACGUCCCUGCCCUUUGUGCACACCGCCCGUCGCUACUACCGAUUGAAUGGCUCAGUGAGGCCUUCGGACUGGCUCGGAGAGGUUGGGAACGACCAUUCCGAGCCGGGAAGUCGGUCAAACUCGGUCAUUUAGAGGAAGUAAAAGUCGUAACA
rnacentral:rRNA from 1 species